rnacentral:rRNA from 1 species
UGGGGAAUCUUCCGCAAUGGACGAAAGUCUGACGGAGCAACGCCGCGUGUAUGAUGAAGGUCUUCGGAUUGUAAAGUACUGUCAUUGGGGAAGAACGGUUUUCUUGAAAAGAUUGAGAAGACAUGACGGUACCCAAGGAGGAAGCCCCGGCUAACUACGUGCCAGCAGCCGCGGUAAUACGUAGGGGGCAAGCGUUGUCCGGAAUUAUUGGGCGUAAAGGGCGCGUAGGCGGGCCUUUAAGUCCGGUGUGAAAGAUCAGGGCUCAACCCUGAGAGUGCAUCGGAAACUGGAGGCCUUGAGGACAGGAGAGGAAAGUGGAAUUCCACGUGUAGCGGUGAAAUGCGUAGAUAUGUGGAGGAACACCAGUGGCGAAGGCGACUUUCUGGACUGUAACUGACGCUCAGACGCGAAAGCUAGGGUAGCAAACG